UUACGGCCACAUCCCGUUGAAAACACCAGGUCACCUCCGAUCACCGAAGUUAAACAACGUUGAAAUUGGUCAGUACUGAGAUGGGUGACCACUUGUAAG